CUGCUCAUUUAGACAUCAGAUAUACUAAAAUUGGAACCACACAGAGAAGAUUAGCAUGGUCUCUGUGCACAGAUGACAGAAUUCCACAAAGCUCUUACCAAGAAAAU
rnacentral:snRNA from 1 species